rnacentral:rRNA from 1 species
UAGGGAAUCUUCCGCAAUGGACGAAAGUCUGACGGAGCAACGCCGCGUGAGUGAAGAAGGAUUUCGGUUCGUAAAACUCUGUUGUUAGGGAAGAAAAAAUGUAUAGUAACUAUAUACAAAAGAGACGGUACCUAACCAGAAAGCCACGGCUAACUACGUGCCAGCAGCCGCGGUAAUACGUAGGUGGCAAGCGUUGUCCGGAAUUAUUGGGCGUAAAGCGCGCGCAGGUGGUUUAGAAAGUCUGAUGUGAAAGCCCACGGCUCAACCGUGGAGGGUCAUUGGAAACUAAUAAACUGGAGUGCAGGAGAGAAAAGUGGAAUUCCUAGUGUAGCAGUGAAAUGCGUAGAGAUUAGGAGGAACACCGGUGGCGAAAGCGGCUUUUUGGCCUGCAACUGACACUGAGGCGCGAAAGCGUGGGGAGCAAACAGG